AUGGCAAUGGGAACAAUUAGUCGAUUAUUGGUAUUCAAAUAAAGGAGAGGAUUCAGAAAGACUUGGGGUUGCUAGCAGAAAACAACAAAAAUAUACUCAUACCUCUGGAUCAAAGAGCUUUGCUAGAAAGGAAAAGGAAAUGGAGGUUCACAAUGGAAGAAAAGUAGGACGGCUCGAAUUUUUUAAAUCAACUCACACCAAAAAAGAUGGUUCUCACAUGAAUGUGGAAACUGAACAAAUUAUGGUUAAAGCAAAUGAGAAGUUAGCUGAAUGUGAAACAGUAGAUGAGGAUAUGCAGAUUGUUGAAACUAAAAUUCUGACACAAGUUAUUGGAAAAGAACGAUGUGGGUGAGUAAGAGGGCUUGGAUUGGGUCCAACACUCAAAACUUAUUAUGGGGGUAUGACUAGCAGAACUUCUACUGCCUCAAGCACCCAAUCAAGUGAGUUUGUUGAGCAGUUUAAUCAAAUGGAACAACAAAUACAACAAUUGAAAGAGGAGCGAGAGCAAGAACGUGCACA